AAGAGAGAGAGAUUAAUAAAAAGAGUUAUGGAAAUGGAAGGUGGUGACAUCGUCUUCCUCAACUCGGAUCCAUUGGAAGUACUUAUUCUUUUCCUCUCUCAAUUCGCGUCUCUUACUUUCUCUACCUUAGGGUUUUCUCAUUCCUAUCUUCUACAGAUUUGAUUUUGAUUUUUAGAUGGACAGGACAAACAAGAAAUUGUCCUUUGACAAUUUUCAACAAGGAAUAAAAGAAUUUACGAUAAAAGUAACAAUGAUCACGAGCAUUCAACAUUCAACAUGAGGUGGGGAACAUGAGUCUAGUGAUUCCAUUGAAGGAGUAUAUCAACUUCUUUUGGAUAGUUCCCUGGAUGGAUGAAAGAUUCUUUUGAAGAUCAAUUGUCAUUGCAGUUUGACCAGCAAGUCCUUUUCUUUUCUUUUAGCCCAUUCUUAUUUAUUUUUUCUUGUUAAAAAUCAUAGUAAUGUUAUAUGGAUCACUUUAUGGCUUUGGGACUCUACAAAUAGUUGUUGGGGGUAA